UACGUAGGGUGCGAGCGUUAAUCGGAAUUACUGGGCGUAAAGCGUGCGCAGGCGGCUUCGCAAGUCAGACGUGAAAUCCCCGGGCUUAACCUGGGAAUGGCGUUUGAAACUACGGAGCUGGAGUGUGGCAGAGGGAGGUAGAAUUCCACGUGUAGCGGUGAAAUGCGUAGAUAUCUGGAGGAACACCGGUGGCGAAGGCGGCAUCCUGGACCAACACUGACGCUGAGGAGCGAAAGCCAGGGGAGCAAACGGG
rnacentral:rRNA from 1 species